rnacentral:lncRNA from 1 species
GUCACCAAGUUCACCUCCUCUUAGACUGCGUCGCCUGUAUCUAGUAGCAAAUGUAGUUCUAUACUGUUGGCUUAGUGCUUGUCCGUGGACUCUGGUUAUCUGCAAGUAAUAGUAGUCCUACUUUUGGAUGAAAAUUGCCGAAUCAUUGUAAAUGCUUUGUUGGCUCGUCGGCCACCUGCAAGAACUGAAUUAUGUCCGCUUCAAUUGGCAAAUGAAGAUUUCGGAAACGUUGUUGGUUCUAUUUACCGAUUUCCGCGGUGGUUUACUAAUAGAUGUUCUAG